AUGAUCGUGCGGACCCACGUGAAGGAGUUCUUUGAAGGGGUGAAAGCAAAGAGACAUCCACCUCCGGAGGAGAAGGUAGAUCCGGUGAAAGCAAAGCGCACUCUCGAUGCCCUGAGAAAACCGGCAAAGUCUCCGCCGAGAACCAACUAUGAGCGAAUUACUAAACAGACAUAUCUCCAAGCGGAGCGGUCGGGAAGUACUGUCAGACAUCUAAGGUCAAGAGAACGAGCAGCUGCGAAAAAAAUUGACCAGCUUGGCGAACAAGCAAACCAAUCGUGCCCCCCGCUCAAUGUGUCUAGCGGCAACAUCGUCGCUAAUGCUUCGGGGACGGUGGCCGGUUAUGGCAAUCUUGAAGAUUACCUGCCUGACGAUCAACUUCCUGAUUUCUUGGAGGUGGACGAACACAGAUACGAGUACGGGAAGCCUCUCGUCAAAGAUGAAAAAUCUCUGACAACAAUGAUGCGAAGAUUCCAUAGUUGGUACAUGAAAACCUGCAGAGAGUCUGAGGGGAUGAAUAGUUUGUAUCUGAACAUUAAAGAGGAGCACGACCUCGUUUCAAGUGAUCUGUUGUGUGUUCCAUUUGAUGAGUUCUUCGCGUUCUUCAAUCAAAAGGCCCUCGAUAAAUUAAUGGUCUUUUGCUACUGCCUGUAA
rnacentral:rRNA from 1 species